AUAAUUCUGGCGAGUGCGUACAAUGGGAACGAAAAUUUUGGCCAAUAAUUAUUAUUCGGGAACCUAACUUCGGUUUUUCUUCGGAACUAUCGAGAGGGUACCCACCUGGGAGACCAGGCCGGAAAUUUUCUUUCCGUUUACGGCUCAACGGAUAUAGG
rnacentral:other from 1 species